AGCGAACGCUGGCGGCAGGCCUAACACAUGCAAGUCGAACGGAUCCUUCGGGAUUAGUGGCGGACGGGUGAGUAACACGUGGGAACGUGCCCUUUGGUUCGGAACAACUCAGGGAAACUUGAGCUAAUACCGGAUGUGCCCUUCGGGGGAAAGAUUUAUCGCCAUUGGAGCGGCCCGCGUCUGAUUAGCUAGUUGGUGAGGUAACGGCCCACCAAGGCGACGAUCAGUAGCUGGUCUGAGAGGAUGAUCAGCCACACUGGGACUGAGACACGGCCCAGACCCCUACGGGAGGCAGCAGUGGGGAAUCUUGCGCAAUGGGCGAAAGCCUGACGCAGCCAUGCCGCGUGAAUGAUGAAGGUCUUAGGAUUGUAAAAUUCUUUCAGCAGGGACGAUAAUGACGGUACCCGCAGAAGAAGCUCCGGCUAACUUCGUG
rnacentral:rRNA from 1 species